AUUGAACGCUGGCGGCAGGCCUAACACAUGCAAGUCGAGCGAGCGGCGGGAGGGUGAGUAAUGUAUGGGGACUGCCCGAUAGAGGGGGAUAAAUACUGGAAACGGUGGCUAAUACCCCAUACUCACGGCUAACCCAUAUGGGAUUAGCUAGUAGGGGGGGGACAGGCUCACCUAGGAGACGAUCUCUAGCUGGUCGGAGAGGGUGAUAAGCCACACUGGGACUGAGACACGGCCCAGACUCCUACGGAGGCAGCAGUGGGGAAUAAUGCACAAUGGGCGCAAGCCUGAUGCAGCCAUGCCGCGUGUAUGAAGAAGGCCUUAGGGUUGUAAAGUACUUUCAGCGGGGAGGCGUUACCCGCAGAAGAAGCACCGGCUAACUCCGUGCCAGCAGCCGCGGUAAUAC
rnacentral:rRNA from 1 species